CCGGACGCCUCGUUACUUUGAGAAAAUUAGAGUGUUUCAAGCAGGUUUCGCCUGUAUAAUUGAGCAUGGAAUAACCUUGUAUGACCCUGUCGUACCGUUGGUCGACUUUGGGUAAUGGUUAAUAGGAACGGUUGGGGGCAUUCGUACUCGACUGUCAGAGGUGAAAUUCUUAGAUUUGUCGAUGACGCACGACUGCGAAAGCAUUUGCCAAGGACGCUUCCAUUAAUCAAGAACGAAAGUUAGGGGAUCGAAGACGAUCAGAUACCGUCGUAGUCCUAACCUUAAACGAUGCCGACUAGGGAUUGGUGGUCGUCGCCUCGACUCCGUCAGCACCUUGAGAGAAAUCAAAGUCUUUGGGUUCUGGGGGGAGUAUGGUCGCAAGUCUGAAACUUAAAGGAAUUGACGGAAGGGCACCACCAGGCGUGGAGCCUGCGGUUUAAUUUGACUCAACACGGGGAACCUCACCAGGUCCAGACAGCGUAAGGAUUGACAGGUUGAUUGUCCUUUCUUGAUUCUCUGGGUAGUGGUGCAUGGCCGUUCUUAGUUGGUGGAGUGAUUUGCCUGGUUAAUUCCGUUAACGAACGAGACCUUAACCUGCUAUUUAGUCGCUCGGUCUCUGUCCGUGCGCACUUCAUAGAGGGACUCUGCGGCGUCAAGCUGCGGUGAGGUUUAAGGCAAUAACAGGUCUGUGAUGCCCUUAGAUGUCCUGGGCUGCACGCGCGCUACACUGAUGCUUGCCUCGUGUUUACCCUCGGCCGAUAGGCCCUGGUAACCCCUAGUCUGCAUCGUGUUUGGGAUUGAUCUUUGCAAUUCUAGAUCAUGAACGAGGAAUGCCUAGUAUGCGCAAGUCAUCAGCUUGUGCAGAUUACGUCCCUGCCCUUUGUACACACCGCCCGUCGCUCCUACCGAUCGAGUGAUCCGGUGAAUUAUUCG
rnacentral:rRNA from 1 species